CUCGAGUACCAUAGUGUUUUUUUCUCUGAUUCUUUUUAAACCUUAGGUACUGAUUAGUUUAAUUAAUACAUAAGGGAAGAAAGCAAAUUAUUUCGAUUCAGAGAAAGACUCGAUCACAUAGUUUUUUCUUUCUUUCUUUCUCUUUUUCUUUUUUUGCUGUUAUAUAUAAUUUUGUUUUAUUUUUUUCAUUUUUAGCUUGAAUUUCAUUGAGACUGUUUCAAAGAUCACACCAUACCUCAUAUUUU